rnacentral:rRNA from 1 species
GUACGGGAGGCAGCAGUGGGGAAUAUUGGACAAUGGGCGCAAGCCUGAUCCAGCCAUGCCGCGUGCAGGAUGAAGCAUCUAUGGUGUGUAAACUGCUUUUGUACGAGAAGAAACACUGCUUCGUGAAGCAGCUUGACGGUAUCGUAAGAAUAAGGAUCGACUAACUCCGUGCCAGCAGCCGCGGUAAUACGGAGGAUCCAAGCGUUAUCCGGAAUCAUUGGGUUUAAAGGGUCCGUAGGCGGUCUUAUAAGUCAGUGGUGAAAUCACCCCGCUCAACGGGGAAACGGCCAUUGAUACUGUAGGACUUGAAUUACUAGGAAGUAACUAGAAUAUGUAGUGUAGCGGUGAAAUGCUUAGAGAUUACAUGGAAUACCAAUUGCGAAGGCAGGUUACUACUAAUGGAUUGACGCUGAUGGACGAAAGCGUGGGUAGCGAACAGGAUUAGAAACCCGUGUAGUCC